rnacentral:rRNA from 1 species
AGCGAACGCUGGCGGCAGGCCUAACACAUGCAAGUCGAACGACCUCUUCGGAGUUAGUGGCGGUCGGGUGAGUCACACGUCGGAACGUGCCUUUUGGUUCGGAAUAACUCAGUGUAACUUGUGCUAAUACCGAAUGUGCCCUUCGGGGGAAAGAUUUAUCGCCAUUAGAGCGGCCCGCGUCCUAUUAGCUAGUUGGUGGUGUAACGGCGCACCAAGGCGACGAUCAGUAGCUGGUCUGAGAGGAUGACCAGCCACACUGGGACUGGGACGCGGCCGAGACUCCUGGGCGAGGCAGGAGUGGGGAAUCUUGCGAAAUGGGGGAAGGGCAGACGCAGCCAUGGCGGGUGAAUGCUGAUGUUGUGAGGAUAGAAAAGUAGUUUCACACGGGACGAUAAUGACGGUACCCGGAGAAGAAGCCCCGGCUAACUUCGUG